UUCCUUUGCAACCACAUCACUUACCUCCUCCUGGCCCCAACCGCAUGAAUUCCCCUGAAAUGUCACCAGCUCCCUGAGACUCUGGCUGCCUAAGUGCCCAGAAUGCCAACCCUCGCCCCGACUCUCCUGUUCCCACCAGCCUGGCAGAUGCCUACUCAGAUUUCAAGACUCAGUUUACGUUGCUCCCCCGAGAAGUCUUUUCUGUCUCCCCAAGAGGCAACCAGGCCUUCCACCAGCUGCUUCUUUGAGAACCUGAAGACUUGAAUGAAGUCAUUCAUGGUUUGCCUGCCAUACAGAGCUGAGAGGGCCAACUCCACCAAAUCUACCUCCCCUAAGGACCAUCUGGGCCCUCACACACUCACCUCCUGACCACACCUGCACGGGGCCUCCAUCCUGGGUCCCACCAAACACAGUUGCUGCCCACCUACUUGUUGUUUCCACCUUUACUGACAGCUCUACAGGGAGCGCUCCAAGACGACAACUGUCUGGCUUUGACUGCAGCUUUACUCUCAUCUCCCACAUCUUGAUACUUACUAGCCAUAAUAAGAACAAUCAUACGGUGAUAUCUCACCUCUGGAUGAUGCAAGUUCAACACAGCACUCUCACGUGCGUUAUUUCAUUUGAGCCUCACCUAGGAAGUAGGCGUGACACAUGUUCCCCAUGUGACAAACGAAGAAACUAAGGCUCAAAUAGACUACCAGCUUCACAGCCUGCACGUGGUAAAACAGGAAUGAAACUGCAGAAUUUCUCAGUCCCCUUUCAGUGCUUUCUAUGUAACAGCUCCUUGUUUACACAGUGUUACUUCUUUCGUAUUAUCAUGUCUUCUUGGCUACGUGCCUUCAUCUUUUUACUCAACUGGUAAAAGUAAUAAUAAUAAAUGACAGUACAUUAAGACGAGGACUCCAUCUUCUCAUGUGACUGAAGCUUUGUUCUCAGACUGAAGCACUACCACUUUUAUUAUAACUUUGGCUCUUUUAUGCCUUG